rnacentral:rRNA from 1 species
CCUACGGGAGGCAGCAGUGAGGAAUAUUGGUCAAUGGACGCAAGUCUGAACCAGCCAUGCCGCGUGCAGGAAGACGGCUCUAUGAGUUGUAAACUGCUUUUGUACGAGGGUAAACGCUGAUACGUGUAUCUUUCUGCAAGGAUCGUACGCAUAAGGAUAGGCUAACUCCGUGCCAGCAGCCGCGGUAAUACGGAGGAUUCAAGCGUUAUCCGGAUUUAAUGGGUUUAACGGGUGCGUAGGCGGUCGGAUAAGUUAGAGGUGAAAUCCCGGGGCCCAACUUCGGAAUUGCCUUUGAUACUGUGCGGCUAGAGAGUAGUUGCGGUAGGCGGAAGUGAUGGUGUAGCGGUGAAAUGCUUAGAGAUCAUACAGAACACCGAUUGCGAAGGCAGCUUACCAAGCUACUUCUGACGUUGAGGCACGAAAGCGUGGGGAGCAAACAGGAUUAGAUACCCCAGUAGUC